rnacentral:lncRNA from 1 species
AGUGAAGUGCUUUCCUCACUCUGUUACAGACAUACAACAUGAAGUUGGGCCACCCUUUAACUGACUAUGGAUCUUACAACUAUAUCUGCAAAGUGGAGGAGCUUGAACAGUCUUCUGUAAGCUUUUCUGGAUGUGCUGUUGAUCGAUCCCACCCACCUGGCUCAUUCAGCAUGAGAGAGGUGAUGAAAUGGAUGGAAGAAAACCACCAGCCUGCCCAUGUGAAAAUAUGAGAACUGGGAAUUCAUUUUGGAAUAUUGUUGGAGUCUGGCGUCUUUGAGAUUUUUGUUGUUUCAAGAACAUUUCAUGCAUAGAACUUAACUGGCUACACUGAGAUUCACCCAUGUUGCUGAGGUAAUUUCUCCUUUAUUGUUCAGUAAUAUUCCACUGCAUGGUUGUACAGUUAUU